AGAGUUUGAUCAUGGCUCAGAACGAACGCUGGCGGCAUGCCUAACACAUGCAAGUCGAACGAAGGCUUCGGCCUUAGUGGCGGACGGGUGAGUAACGCGUGGGAACCUGCCCUAGAGUGGGGAACAACCUUUGGAAACGAAGGCUAAUACCGCAUAAUCUCUAUGGAGGAAAGGCUUCGGCCGCUCUUGGAUGGUCCCGCGUUAGAUUAGCUUGUUGGUGGGGUAACGGCCUACCAAGGCGACGAUCUAUAGCUGGUCUGAGAGGAUGAUCAGCCACACUGGGACUGAGACACGGCCCAGACUCCUACGGGAGGCGGCAGUGGGGAAUAUUGGACAAUGGGGGAAACCCUGAUCCAGCAAUGCCGCGUGAGUGAAGAAGGCCUUAGGGUUGUAAAACUCUUUCACUGAUGAAGAUGAUGACGGUAAUCAGAGAAGAAGCCCCGGCUAACUCCGUGCCAGCAGCCGCGGUAAUACGGAGGGGGCUAGCGUUGUUCGGAUUUACUGGGCGUAAAGCGCACGUAGGCGGCGUAGCAAGUCAGAGGUGAAAGGCCCGGGCUCAACCUGGGAACUGCCUUUGAUACUGUUAUGCUUGAGUUCGGAAGAGGGUAGUGGAAUUCCAAGUGUAGAGGUGAAAUUCGUAGAUAUUUGGAAGAACACCGGUGGCGAAGGCGGCUACCUGGUCCGAUACUGACGCUGAGGUGCGAAAGCGUGGGGAGCGAACAGGAUUAGAUACCCUAGUAGUCC
rnacentral:rRNA from 1 species